GAUGAACGCUGGCGGCGUGCUUAACACAUGCAAGUCGAACGGUGAAGGCGGAGCUUGCUCUGCUGGAUCAGUGGCGAACGGGUGAGUAACACGUGAGCAAUCUGCCCCUGACUCUGGGAUAAGCGCUGGAAACGGCGUCUAAUACUGGAUACGAGCUGCGAAGGCAUCUUCAGCAGCUGGAAAGAACUUCGGUCAGGGAUGAGCUCGCGGCCUAUCAGCUUGUUGGUGAGGUAACGGCUCACCAAGGCGUCGACGGGUAGCCGGCCUGAGAGGGUGACCGGCCACACUGGGACUGAGACACGGCCCAGACUCCUACGGGAGGCAGCAGUGGGAAUAUUGCACAAUGGGCGAAAGCCUGAUGCAGCAACGCCGCGUGAGGGACGACGGCCUUCGGGUUGUAAACCUCUUUUAGCAGGGAAGAAGCGAAAGUGACGGUACCUGCAGAAAAAGCGCCGGCUAACUACGUG
rnacentral:rRNA from 1 species